GACGAACGCUGGCGGCGUGCUUAACACAUGCAAGUCGAACGGAAAGGCCCUGCUUUUGUGGGGUGCUCGAGUGGCGAACGGGUGAGUAACACGUGAGUAACCUGCCCUUGACUUUGGGAUAACUUCAGGAAACUGGGGCUACUACCGGAUAGCAGCUCCUGCUGCAUGGUGGGGGUUGGAAAGUUUCGGCGGUUGGGGAUGGACUCGCGGCUUAUCAGCUUGUUGGUGGGGUAGUGGCUUACCAAGGCUUUGACGGGUAGCCGGCCUGGGAGGGUGACCGGGCACAAUGGUACUGAGAUACGGCCCAGACGCCUACGGGGGGCAGCAGGGGGAAAUAUUGCACAGUGGUCGGAAGCCUGAUGCAGAGGCGCCGCGUGCGGGAUGACGGCCUUCGGGUUGUAAACCGCUUUCGCCUGUGACGAAGCGUGAGUGACGGUAAUGGGUAAAGAAGCACCGGCUAACUACGUG
rnacentral:rRNA from 1 species